rnacentral:rRNA from 1 species
UACGGAGGGUGCAAGCGUUAUCCGGAUUCACUGGGUUUAAAGGGUGCGUAGGUGGGCAGGUAAGUCAGUGGUGAAAUCUCCGGGCUUAACUCGGAAACUGCCAUUGAUACUAUCUGUCUUGAAUGCCCUGGAGGUAAGCGGAAUAUGUCAUGUAGCGGUGAAAUGCUUAGAUAUGACAUAGAACACCAAUUGCGAAGGCAGCUUACUACGGGGUGAUUGACGCUGAGACGCGAAAGCGUGGGGAGCAAACAGG